GGGAUCCCGUGUCCGACACCUGGCACCAUCUCGCCGGUCUAAUAAUGGGGCAGCUGUGGGGUCUCACCAUGGUGACGCUGGGGCUCCAUUCCAUGCCGUGGGGGCAGCUUGUGGGGCAGCAGCAGGAAGGAGCUGAGGUAUGAGUUGGCGAGUACGGGCACCGGGGGGAGGCCGGAGGAGAAGAAAUCUGAACCUGGGACGGGAACUGCAUGAAUGGGGGGGGGAAGUAUGAAUGAAAUGGGUCGGCUAGAGUUCAUUGGACUGGGGAGGAACAAUGGGGUGGUAUGGGGGGAUAUGGGGUGGUUAUGGGGCAGCUAUGGGGUGGUUAUGGGAUUGUUAUGGGGUCACUAUGGGGCAGUUAUGGGGCAGUUAUGGGGCAGUUAUAGGGCAGUUAUGGGGCAGUUAUGGGGUUGAUCACCUGGUAAUGGUGCCUCAGUGUUGAGUUGUGGGUCUGGCCGGGGGUGAAGCUGAGAUAUGGGGUGGAGUCCUCCAGCCUAGGGGGGGAGAAAUGGGGGUCCUUAUAGGGUCCCCAUGGGGGUCCCCUAUAGGGUCACUGUGGGUCCCUAUGGGGUCGUUAUGGGUCUCUAUGGGGUCACUAUGGGUCUCUAUGUGUCCCUAUGGGGUCCCUAUGGGUCCCUAUGGGUCCCUGUGUGUCCCUCUGGGGUCCCUAUGGGUCCCUAUGGGUCCCUAUGGGUCCCUAUGUGUUUCUAUGUGUCCCUAUGGGUCCCUAUGUGUCCCUAUGGGUCCCUAUGUGUCUCUAUAGGUCCCUAAAUGUCCCCAUGGGUCCCUAUGUGUCCCUAUGGGGUCACUAUGUCUCUCUUUGUCUCUCUAUGUGUCCCUAUGGGUCCCUAUGAGUCUCUAUGGAGUCUCUAUGGGGUCACUAUGGGUCUCUAUGGGUCCCUAUGUGUCCCUAUGUGUCCCUAUAUGUUCCUAUGGGGUCACUAUGUAUCUCUAUGUGUCCCUAUGUCUCUCUAUGGGGUCUCUAUGGGUCUCUAUGGGUCUCUACGGGGUCUCUAUGGGUCUCUAUGGGGUCUCUAUGGGUCUCUAUGGGGUCUCUAUGGGCCUCUAUGGGUCUCUAUGGGUCUCUAUGGGUCUCUAUGGGUCCCUAUGGGGUCCCUAUGAGUCUCUAUGGAGUCUCUAUGGGGUCACUAUGGGUCUCUGUGGGUCCCUAUGUGUCCCUAUGUGUCCCUAUGGGGUCCCUAUGUGUCCCUAUAUGUCCCUAUAGGGUCUCUAUGUAUCUCUAUGGGUCCCUAUGUGUCCCUAUGUGUCCCUAUGGGGUCCCUAUGUGUUCCUAUGGGGUCUCUAUGUAUCCCUAUGUAUCUGUAUAUGUCCCUAUGUGUCCGUAUGUAUCUCUAUGGGGUCUCUAUGGGGUCUGUAUGGGGUCCCUAUAUUUCCCUAUGUCCCCCUAUGGGGUCCCUAUGGGGUCACUAUGUGUCUCUAUAUGUCCUUAUGUGUCCCUAUGUUUCCCUAUGUAUCUCUAUGUGUAAUGUGUCCCUAUGUGUCCCUACUCUAUGUCCCCCUAUGCCCCCCUAUGGGGUCUCUAUGGGGUCCCUAUAGAUCCCUAUGUCCCCCCAUGUCCCCCUAUGUCCCUCUAUGUCUGUGCUCACCACGUGACCGCGGCUCCCACCCGGUACCGCACGGGGGCGCUCCAGAGCAGCGAGUUGUCGGACACCGUGAGACGGGAUUCAGUGGGGCUGGAACGGGGAGAAACGGGGGUUACGGCCCCAUAGGGACACAUAGGGACACAUAGAGACACAUAGAGACACAUAGGGACCCAUAGAGACACAUAGGGACACAUAGGGACCCAUAGAGACACAUAGAGACCCAUAGAGACACAUAGGGACCCAUAGGGACACAUAGGGACCCAUAGAGACCCAUAGAGACACAUAGAGACCCAUAGGGACACAUAGGGACCCAUAGGGACACAUAGGGACACAUAGAGACACAUAGAGACACAUAGGGACACAUAGGGACACAUAGGGACCCCAUAACCACCCCAUAUCCCCCAUAACCUCCCAUAUGACCCCAUAUCCCCCCAUAACCACCCCACA
rnacentral:lncRNA from 1 species